rnacentral:sRNA from 1 species
UGAUACCACGGUGCGUAUGCCCUCCAU